rnacentral:lncRNA from 10 species
CUUUGGAAUAAGAUGAAGUCACCCAAACUCCAUUGUGAAAUCUAGUCUCCUUGCAAUCUGUCUGACCUCAGAGAGGCAAACAAAAUGUCUGUUUGGGAGAUGGUACAGAUGAGGAAAUGAAAGCCUCCGGAUGUAGGUUCUCUGGACCAGACCGCCGCAGCAGAGACCUGUGUUUUCUCCUGGGGAUUCGGAAACCCCACUCCCCUUGCCUUCAGAGGCGCUGCCGCUCUCCAUUGUGGGGCAGAGGUGAAGAAGCAAAGAAAGUGUCCUUUUCAUCCUCGCCAUAGAAUGAAAAACAAUUCAUCACCACAAUUACUCACCAAACCUGAGAGGAGGACAAAAGAAAACAUGUUUACGUUACUUUUUCUUUCAUUAAAAAGCAACACGUGUUUUUGCCCAUCAGAUAGAAAACACAGAUGCAGAAAAAGGUAAACAAUUCAAAGAAAACCCUCUCUUCUAGAAAUACUUAACAGUUACUAAUUAUAAAGACACAUAGGAGUUGCAGGAAGUGAUUCUAAUUCUUGAUGUAAGAGAAUAUUUUCAUGGCAUGUUCCACAUUGAGAAACCUGAUCCAGUGACUCAGAAUUAUUUCUGAAACAAUAUCCCCUUCCCCCACCCUCUGCUCAAUUUCUUCUAAUUAUAACUCUCUGAGAUAUUUGCCUCUGAUAAUCAUAGGGAAAGAAGGGGAGAGGGAAAGGAGAAGAGAAAAGGAAUAUAGUUCAAUUGCCAAUAUGCCAAAAGUGGAAAGAUGGACCCGAGUCUCCUCUGGCGCAGUGUCAGGACUGUACAGCACACACUGGCCAGGCCCGUGCCAGAGGCCCAUUGUCAGACACCAUGGUGGGAGCAUGGGAACCUUCUAAAUGAACAGCCCUGCUCAACUCCUUGGGCCUCAUGUGGGCUGGGAAAAUAGAUCUGAUUCCACCCUUGUUCCUGCAAUACUCAACACAAUGCCAAGCCUGUACUGGGCGCCCAAUAUAUUUUUCUUGAAUGAGUUAAUAAGGCUGAUUUUCACAAAUUUGUUGUUGUUGGGCUCAUUCUAGUCCAAGUUACAAUUAUAGGCCAAAGUGUUUCAAGGUGGUUUCAAAAUUAUUUACUUCUUGCAAAUGUGUACAAAUGUCUAAUUAGUCUGCCAGAUACUGGAGAUACCAGGGUAGAUAGGAAAGGAUCCCAGAGUCACCUAAAUAAUCAAAUACUAGAGAGAAUGUGGUGGAGCUGACCAAUUUAGUGAAACAGACUUGGGUUCAAAAUCCAGCUCUGUGUCCACUAGUUUUGGAUCUUAGGCAAGUUAUUUAUUAUUAUUAUUAUUAUUUUUAAUAUCCCUUCAGCAGGGCUAACCAUAAUGUUAAUUCAUAUGUUGUUUGAGGAUUAAGUGUGAUAACUGAUGUAAAGCCCUUGGAAGACUGCCCGGCACACGGCAAACCUUGGAUGAAGGCGACUGCUACUGUGAUUUAACAGCUGUGCAAUCUUGGGCAGGUGAUACUUGCUGCAUCUGUUUACAUAGGUGGAAAAUGAGGAUGGUAGUACAAUGAUUCAUCAUGAUUUUUAAACUGCAAGACUUUUUAUUGUUUGCAUGAGACUACAAGGUAUGGGUUUCCAUCAUAGCCCCCAUUUUAAUCAUGGGGACACUAAAGCUCCAAGGCUUUAAGGUGGGUCAUCCACUUAGAAUCCAAAGCAAGAGUUGGAGCAGAAGCCCUGGGAGUGGAGCCGGAACACCUGGGCCCACAUCUGUAGUGGGCAGUUGGUUGUGGUGCCUGGCCAGAGGCCUUUGGAGCCCUUUUUAAACCAGCUCUGUGCCCCUGUUUCCCAGCAGCUGCAAGCUCUGCUGAUGAGGGUUCAUUUACAAUCUUCAGAGAUUGCCCAUGGGCACUGGAACAUCCUUGAAAACACAGACAGAGACCCUUCACCCCCUUGACCAAAAACUCUGCCUUAUAACUUACUGUUAAGAGCUCCCUAGGGAAUCACGCAGAGGCUGAGACUUCACCUGAAAUCAUACCCUCAUUUCACUUCCUUCCUUUCCCUGUCCUGCUCCCAGAUCCCUUGCCAGUUUCUCCUGGGAGUGCCUCCUCCCAGUUGAACCUUGGGCAGGACAGGGUGUGCUGCUGAGAGAGCCUAAACUAAAACUGCACCUGGAUGAUGCCAUUUACAUAAAAGAUCUCAAAUUAAUUCAUGUCGCUUGGUCGUGCAUCAAUAAAUCCAAAUCCCAGGUGCCUUUCCUGGGAAGUGGGAUUGAGCUGAAAGGCCAGGGUCCCCAGGAACAGCCUGUUUUAGUUCUCUUCCAAAAGCCAUGAGCACUUUCUUUAUGUCAAGCACACACCUUCAGGGACUUCACUUCCCUUGUUUAUUUCUUGAAGGCACAGCACUGCUCAGAGCCUGUCCCAGAGCUCCUGGAUGACGUGUGUCCAGCACAUAUUU